UUCUUUUCUCCUCCUACCCUCAGUUCAGAUUUGACCAAGAAGAACCAAGAGCUAGUUCCGUUCCAGAGUCUCUGCAACAAUGGAGGUCACGGGAAGAGCAGAUUGUGAUAAUGAAGAGGGAGAAGAAUCUGGAUAUGUGAGUUGGAUCUGAAAGUGCUUAUAAAGAUUAAAGAAAUAAUAGUGAUUAAAGAAAUGGUUAAGGAGAGGAGCAGCCUGGAGAGGGGUUAAUGUCUAAACAUGUACCAAUGCAUUUUUAUAAUGAUCACCCACUUAAUCAAAACUAAAAAUAAUUUUCUAAUUUCCUUGAUUUAUAAUCUUGGAUUCUCCUUUA